CCUACGGGUGGCAGCAGUGGGGAAUAUUGCGCAAUGGGCGAAAGCCUGACGCAGCGACGCCGCGUGAGGGAUGAAGGUCUUCGGAUCGUAAACCUCUGUCAGCAGGGAAGAACGGUCACUGUGCUAAUCAGCAGUGAAUUGACGGUACCUGCAAAGGAAGCACCGGCUAACUCCGUGCCAGCAGCCGCGGUAAUACGGAGGGGGCGAGCGUUAAUCGGAAUUACUGGGCGUAAAGCGCUCGUAGGCGGUAUGUCAAGUCAAGGGGGAAAUCCCCGCGCUCAACGUGGGAACUGCCUUUGAAACUGGCAAACUGGAGUGUGUGAGAGGAGAGUGGAAUUCCAGGUGUAGGAGUGAAAUCCGUAGAUAUCUGGAGGAACAUCAGUGGCGAAGGCGACUAUCUGGCACAUAACUGACGCUGAGGAGCGAAAGCGUGGGUAGCAAACAGGAUUAGAUACCCCAGUAGUC
rnacentral:rRNA from 1 species